GUCUCUACCCUUCUUUCUUUCUCUCCGGUAGGUAAGUCUCCUCCCCCAAAACAUUCAAAUUCAAAUUCUAAUUCUAAUUCUAAUUCUAAUUCUCUUAAUCGAUGUUGCUUUGAUUAUCAGGGAUUAUAUUUUUCAGUUGAGACAGAGGGCUAAGGUGAUUUAAAAUUAUCCUAAAUGUAUGCAAGGAAUUUAAUGCUAGGAAUUGAUCGGUGGUUACCUUCUUAGUCGUGCUUCUCAAGAUUUAUUUCAGUUACUACUCAAAGUAAGGCAAAACAGAGUAUAAAAUGUCAAGAUUUGAAGGAGAAGCUUCAUCAAGUUUUACCUUUAGUGUGCAGUCGAAGAUAUCUGCAUUCAUGUAAACAAGAAC